rnacentral:rRNA from 1 species
GACGAACGCUGGCGGCGUGCUUAACACAUGCAAGUCGAACGGAAAGGCCCUGCUUUUGUGGGGUGCUCGAGUGGCGAACGGGUGAGUAACACGUGAGUAACCUGCCCUUGACUUUGGGAUAACUUCAGGAAACUGGGGCUAAUACCGGAUAGGAGCUCCUGCUGCAUGGUGGGGGUUGGAAAGUUUCGGCGGUUGGGGAUGGACUCGCGGCUUAUCAGCUUGUUGGUGGGGUAGUGGCUUACCAAGGCUUUGACGGGUAGCCGGCCUGAGAGGGUGACCGGCCACAGUGGGAAUGAGAGAGGGACGAGACUACGACGGGGGGCAGAAGGGGGGAAGAAUGCACAGGGGGCGGAAGACGGAUGCAUGGAGUCAGCGUGCGGGAUGAAGGACGUCGGGGGGUAAGUCGCGUUAGCUGGUGAAGAAGAGUGAGCGAAGGGAGUGGGUAAAGAAGCACAGGUGAAAGAAGGG